AAAUGAAUUGACGGGCACCCGCACAAGCGGUGGAGCAUGCUGUUUAAUUCGAAGGUACGCGAAGAACCUUACCAGGGCUUGACAUCCCUCUGACCGAUCUAGAGAUAGAUCUUUCCCUUCGGGGACAGGGGUGACAGGUGGUGCAUGGUUGUCGUCAGCUCGUGUCGUGAGAUGUUUGGUUAAGUCCAAUAACGAGCGCAACCCCUAUCCUUAGUUGCUAACAUUUAGUUGAGAACCCUAAGGAUACUGUCGGUGAUAAACCGGAGGAAGGUGGGGAUGACGUCAAAUCAUCAUGCCCCUUACGUCCUGGGCUACAGGCGUGCUACAAUGGCCGGUAUAGCAAGUUGCCACAUCGUAAGAUGGAGCUAAUCUAUAAAGCCGGUCCCAGUUCGGAUUGAGGUCUGCAACUCGACCUCAUGAAGUUGGAAUCGCUAGUAAUCCCAGAUCAGAAUGCUGGGGUGAAUACGUUCCCGGGUGUUGUACACACCGCCCGU
rnacentral:rRNA from 1 species